CUCCCCGCACGUGGGUCUUGGCACACAUGUGUGCGACUCUCACCAUCCAUCUUGACACUGCGCCCAGACAAACCGUGCCGAGAACAGGACUCAAUGUGGAACAGGCUCCGGCACAUGCGCAGUCAAGCUGACAUAGCAGCCGUGAAUGCGGCAGCACUCUUAUGUGCGCUCUUUCACUGCACCUUUCGUCAGCUCCGUUUUUUCCGAGUCGCUGUUCUUUCCACAACGUUUCCCGCGCCGCGUGUUCUCACGUGGCUUUUCGGAUGACUGACCCCUUCCACUCCUGCUCGGACGGAUUUUCCUCGGCGCACAGCCUUGCCGAGGUGGUUCGCUACGACUUCCUGGUCUCCAAACGCUCGGUGUAGACGCGCCAUCCGACCAACCCGUUUCGGACAUGGCUGCGCAGACCUUUCUCGGUCCUGGCCUUCCUGCCACAUGAAUUCGUCGCUAGUCUUCGGAAUGGCGGGAAUUUCGGCGUCUACCAGAUCAUCUACGGGAGCCGCCGGCGGUGUUCGUGGCUGUACCAUUUUGUGCUGCCUUCCCGGACCUUUUACUGUUGCCUUGCGCUUCUCCGUCGCGUGCACGGCCUUCAUCGCUGCGGACACUGCUUCCAGCAUCCCGGAAGAGCCUCAAGACUCCCUGGACCACGCCUGUGUUUAAAUAAAUUCUUUCGUGAUGAGCCA